UUGUUUUGAUGUGUUAUGGUGGAGAAGAAUGAAAAUUUUUAUUUCUAUUAUGUUAACAUAAUAAAUGUAAGCAUCAGGAGGAAAAAAGAGCUCACCUCUGAAAAUAAAGUUCUCCCAUCGUUAUCUUUACUCCUGAUCACUAUUGAAGGUAUCCUAGGCUAAAAACUACUUUUGGAAGUUUUUUUUUGUCCUUUUUUAGUGUUUUGGCUAAUCUGUACUUUCCUCACAAGCUAGCAUCUCAGUAUUCGUACCUUCAUCUUUGCCCCAGGAGGCUUUGGAGUUCUUCAGGCCAGACUUCAUCAGCCGAUCUCAGUGUCGAGUCAGGAGGAUGGAACAGAGAGCUAGAAGGAGGAAAAAGGCUCUGCAGGACUCAAAUCCAGACCUUUUGCAGGGCAUUGAAGAAGAUCAAGGCAAGCUAAAGAGGAACUGCACCACACCUGAUGCACUUAGCGAUAACCUUUUCAAGCCAAGAGAAAGGUCCAUAUCAGGCAAAGAGAUGCACCUGAGGUCCAGACGGAUUUACAACAAGCUACCAGAGGUGACAAAGAAAAAGGAGGAGGAGAGAAAGAGGGUUGUGUCACAAAGCAACAGACUGAGAGCAGAGGUCUUUAAAAAGGUACAACAGAGUUUGGACUACACAUUUGUUCCAAACAUCUCUCAAUGUUCAUAAAGAUUAUUAUCAUUUAAUUUGACUUCAUUUAAAUUUACAGGAAUAAACUAUUUGAACUCAUGUGAAUGUCUUUAUAUAAAAGCCAUUUCUGACCCAAAACACAAAACUUACAGUUUCACCUGAAGUGAACAAUAAAAAGUAGCUUUUUUUGAAAUUUACAAACUCACAGUUCUCUGUUUUUGCAAAACUCUUUAAAUAAAACACGGUGGAAUGCUUACAUUUUGUAUCAUAAUUAAAUUGACUUACAUGCCCACAAGCACACAAGAACAAAAUUAUAAAAGACCAAAAAUGUGCUUUGCCUUCCGGCUCAGCUCUCUCUUCACCACGACAGAUUGGUGCAGCGCCCGCAUCACCACAGACAC